AGUGAACGCUGGCGGUAGGCCUAACACAUGCAAGUCGAACGGCAGCACAGUAAGAGCUUGCUCUUACGGGUGGCGAGUGGCGGACGGGUGAGGAAUACAUCGGAAUCUACUUUUUCGUGGGGGAUAACGUAGGGAAACUUACGCUAAUACCGCAUACGACCUACGGGUGAAAGCAGGGGAUCUUCGGACCUUGCGCGAUUGAAUGAGCCGAUGUCGGAUUAGCUAGUUGGCGGGGUAAAGGCCCACCAAGGCGACGAUCCGUAGCUGGUCUGAGAGGAUGAUAAGCCACACUGGAACUGAGGAACGGUCCAAACUCCUAAGGGAGGCAGCAGUGGGGAAUAUUGGACAAUGGGGGCAAGCCUGAUCCAGCCAUACCGCGUGGGUGAAGAAGGACUUCGGGUUGUAAAGCCCUUUUGUUGGGAAAGAAAAGCAGCAGGUUAAUACCCCGCUGUUCUGACGGUACCCAAAGAAUAAGCACCGGCUAACUUCGUG
rnacentral:rRNA from 1 species